GACGAACCGUGCAAACGUUGUUCGGAAUCACUGGGCUUAAAGGGCGCGUAGGCGGGCUCGCCAGUCAGGGGUGAAAGCCCACGGCUCAACCGUGGAAGUGCCUUUGAUACUGCGAGUCUCGAGGGAGGUAGGGGCGUGCGGAACUUCCGGUGGAGCGGUGAAAUGCGUAGAUAUCGGAAGGAACACCGGUGGCGAAAGCGGCGCGCUGGACCUCUUCUGACGCUGAGGCGCGAAAGCCAGGGGAGCGAACGGG
rnacentral:rRNA from 1 species